rnacentral:rRNA from 1 species
UACGUAGGGGGCAAGCGUUGUCCGGAAUCAUUGGGCGUAAAGAGCGUGUAGGCGGCCCGAUAAGUCCGCCGUGAAAGUCCAGGGCUCAACCCUGGAAUGCCGGUGGAAACUGUCGGGCUGGAGUCCGGAAGAGGAAAGUGGAAUUCCUGGUGUAGCGGUGAAAUGCGCAGAUAUCAGGCAGAACACCUAUGGCGAAAGCAGCUCUCUGGGACGGUACUGACGCUGAGACGCGAAAGCGUGGGGAGCGAACAGG